CGAAAGCCUGACGGAGCAAUACCGCGUGAGGGAGGAAGGCUCUUGGGUUGUAAACCUCUUUUCUCAAGGAAUAAGUACUGAAGGUACUUGAGGAAUCAGCAUCGGCUAACUCCGUGCCAGCAGCCGCGGUAAUACGGAGGAUGCAAGCGUUAUCCGGAAUGAUUGGGCGUAAAGCGUCCGCAGGUGGCUGUUCAAGUCUGCUGUCAAAGCGCAGAGCUUAACUCUGUAAGGGCGGUGGAAACUGAAUAGCUAGAGUAUGGUAGGGGUAGAGGGAAUUCCCGGUGUAGCGGUGAAAUGCGUAGAUAUCAGGAAGAACACCGGUGGCGAAAGCGCUCUGCUGGGCCGUAACUGACACUCAUGGACGAAAGCUAGGGGAGCG
rnacentral:rRNA from 1 species